UCAGACAUGGUGUAGUCGGAAACACGGCCUUCAAUUGUGGAAAAUUAUUCCCUGGUCAGGUUUUGGAGGUAGUUCGGGGUUCGAAUCCCUGUGUCUGAA